CGAGGGCGUACAUACUCCACCCUCCGCAACAGCAGGCCCUCACCCUGUCCCGGCCGCGCGAAAACAACCUCCUCCCCGCCUCCCCAACGGUGCCUCGGCAGGGCGCGCGCCUGCGUGCGGGGCCAAAGGACAAUAGAAACCGGACCGCCUCGGAUGGGGGGACGAGGGAGAAGAGGACAGGGGUCAGAGUGCCCCGCUCAUUUGGCUCCACAACUCACCUUCUCGGCUGUCCGACGGCGGCCUCCACGCUACACUGCGCAGUUACGGAGCACAGUUCUGCCUGCCCGACAUCCCCCCCCACCCCCGGCCCGACUCCCUCCCCCGUGGGACACUCACUCGUUCUGCUGCGGAUCCUCGACCCUGCGCGGAGCAGCUGCCACGAGACCAGCCUGGAGGUGGCAAUGCAGGCUGGAGAGCGGCCCGGGCACCCGGGCGGGGCGGAGCGCAGCGGGGGGCCGAUCGCCGAAGGAGCAGGAACCGGCACAAGCAAAGGGCGGCCUCCCUCUGCACUACCCUGCCUCCCCUGGGCCGCGCGUCGGAGACGUUCGCAGGUCGCGACCGGCGUUCGUGUCGGUGUGAGAGACGGCGAGGAGAGGAGGUGCACCAACAGCUGAGAGGAUGUAAACAGAAGGUCACGUGACCCUGCCCCCGCGGGCGGCCAAACCCCCUCCGCAGCACGGGGUAGCUGGGGUGGGUGGUAAGGCGAGUUGCGCCGCGCCGUGAUUGGUCGUGCUUUGCUAGUCCAAGAGCCAAUGGGAAGCCGUCGUUGGCGUCGCUCGUCAGCGGUCGUCCAGUGGACAGGGGUAUCCACUUGGGAAGAUAAUUCUAUCAUCUUCUCUCAGAGUUGAAAAAAAUCUUUGGUAUUCAAAUCUAGCAGAAAAUUCUUAAGUGUAUGUGAUUCUCCAAGCCUGCUCUAUCUUCUGUCAUUCAUCUUCAAACCAGAGCUCCCAAGCCAGUCAAGAAUGGGAGCACAGCCUUCCAGUGAAUCAGCCAGUUCACCUAGUUUUGUGUCAUCCAUGGAGAGGGACCUGGGAUUUCUGGCAAACAGCAAACUAAACAUGAACCGGAAAUGUGUCUUCAUGGCCAAGAAGACCAAUGAUAUCCUAAGGUACAUUAAGAAAAGUGUGGCCAAAAGUCAAGGUAAGUUAUUCUCCCCAUUCUCCCCCUCUACCUUACCCUGGUAAGGCUACAUCUGGAGUACUGUGUCAGGUUUUGGGCUCCCCGGUUCAAGGGAGACAGAACUUCUGGAGAGAGUCCAGCACAGGGCUACCAAAAUGAUGAAGAGA